UGGGGAAUAUUGCACAAUGGGCGAAAGCCUGAUGCAGCGACGCCGCGUGAGCGAAGAAGUAUUUCGGUAUGUAAAGCUCUAUCAGCAGGGAAGAUAAUGACGGUACCUGACUAAGAAGCACCGGCUAAAUACGUGCCAGCAGCCGCGGUAAUACGUAGGGAGCAAGCGUUGUCCGGAUUUAUUGGGUGUAAAGGGUGCGUAGACGGGAAAUUAAGUUAGUUGUGAAAUCCCUCGGCUCAACUGAGGAACUGCAACUAAAACUGGUUUUCUUGAGUGCAGGAGAGGAAAGUGGAAUUCCUAGUGUAGCGGUGAAAUGCGUAGAUAUUAGGAGGAACACCAGUGGCGAAGGCGACUUUCUGGACUGUAACUGACGUUGAGGCACGAAAGUGUGGGGAGCAAACAGGAUUAGAUACCCUGGUAGU
rnacentral:rRNA from 1 species